rnacentral:rRNA from 1 species
CGAGCUGAUCAGCCAUGCCGCGUGUGUGAGAGGUCUUCGGAUUGUAAAGCACUUUAAGUUGGGAGGAAGGGCAGUAAACUAAUACUUUGCUGUUUUGACGUUACCGACAGAAUAAGCACCGGCUAACUCUGUGCCAGCAGCCGCGGUAAUA